AUAUAUAGGUUCAUGAUAAAAAUUAGCACGGCUUGGAAAGAAUCACGCAUGGACCUGCAUGGGCGCGGCGACUGCGACGCAGCCAGCCGGCAGCUGGGACGGAGAGGCACGGCGCCGGCACCACGAGGGCUGCUCACGGGAGGACCUAGCAAGAUUGAGCCGGUGGAGGAGCUGACUGAAUGCCGCCGCUGGUACCUGCUAGCAGCCGGCGAUGACUGCUACGGACUGUUAUGGACAGUUAUCACUGGAUGUGGCCCCUCAUCGCCACCGAAGUCCGACUGGGCUGCUGCUGCUCACUUAGGGAGGGGUGUCCCUCUGUUCCCGUUCGGCUGUUAUCGACUGCAGCAGUCGGAUGCCGGACAUGCUUGGACAUGCCGGACAUGAACAUAGAACACUGGUGGAUAAGCACUACAGAGUGACAUGUGUUAACGAUUGGACAAUGCAUGGUUUAAGUGGCAUAUCGCGUUCCUGCGCAUGCGGAACUCUGGUGGGGGACAAAGGCAUGCUUGCUAACGCGCGAGGAUAGCUUUGAAAUUUUACUGACAACGUUUUUGUAUGUUCAUGAUAAAAAUUAGCACGGCUUGGAAAGAAUGUAGGCAAAUGUUUCAGUUUAUAUUGCAUUUACAAUGAUGUAAUUUAAGUUGAGAGUGGCGAGAAAAUGAAUGGAAUAAGUUGUACCUAUAGCCGAAACGAUCGAUCGAUGUCACCGAACCGAAACGUCACCGAUAUGAACCGAGGUCAACGUUUGGUGAGUGUUCAAUGAUCAUGCAUGCAUUAUCAUGCAUUUAUUAUCAUUUAUUAUCAUGCAUGUAUUGUCGUUACUUGCUUCGUUUUGUUAAAACUUUCAUUUCCAUGUAUGUCAGUAGUUACCGAUUUAUCCACCAACGGAAUUCGUGCACGUCACCUGCAGUCUGCUCAAUGUAUUUUCUUUUUCAGAAACCGCUAAAUACAUCGUGGAUCAGGGCU